ACGGGAUUACAUUAGAGGAAAGAACUAACCAGGAUUCCCGUAGGACGUGGCUGUCUUGAGGGCAGCUGAGAGGGUGAGACUCCCGUCGUCGAGUGUUAUUGCAGCUCAAAGCGGGUGGUAAAUUCCAUCGAAAAAUAGGUGGGACCGUCAGAGGGGUCAUACUUCUCUGUCCGCUGCGUCAGGCGCUGCUUGUUUGGUCAGGCUUGCUUGUGAGUGGCGGAAAGGUGUUACGGAGUGAGGUUGGCAAAAUGGUUUCUACCCGUCGACA
rnacentral:rRNA from 1 species